ACGGCAGGGGCGGAGGAUAGCGGCGACUAAAUAGUGGCAACGCCCAUAAUCGCUGAGAAAUCGAUUGAUAGCGGCAGAAGUGAGUGGCGGUCUAGCAGAUGCCGCCAUGCACCACUGGAUAGCGGCUGGCUAGUGACAACUGCCGCUCAUUUGGGAGCGAUUUCUUCAAGCCCCCUCUUUUGGGCAUGACUUCUUGGCACGAAGAGAAGCAACAGCAGAGGCGCGAAACACGCCAACUCCUCGUUCAGCAACGUAUCCUGGCUACUACUUCAAGAAACGCCGCUAGAAACCCUCGAGUUGAAGUUUGGAGCGCGCCAAACACAUAGGAGGAAAGCCCUGAUUCAUCAGCGGAAGAACCCACCAAGAAGCCGACCAAGCUGCCAUCUGUGCUUCUCAUCAAUCGUGGGUGAAACAGUUCCACCGUUCUCAGCCGUCCGCCAAGUUGAGCUAUCACCGUAUCGUGGCCUCUCCCCUUUCAUCUGGUAUGUUCUUUAAUAACUGAUCUCUCCUUCUUGUUUACAUUCUUAGUUCAGAAGACUGAUCGAGAGUUUGUCUAUAUAUUCUGCCAAUUUGGGUUAAUUG